UAGAACUGCUAUUUCAAAGUGUGGAAUGAGAGAGUAACGUCUUGAAACACACUCGCUAAAGCUACGACAAGCGUGGACGGUAUUGCAAACACCAAAAACGUUUGAAGCUCGUUAAAGUAGGCUGAAGUUCACCCAAACAGUUUGGCUGUGGAAAGAGGGAUAAAAAUCUCUUGUGAAUGAUAGGUCUGGCGUCUAUAAA
rnacentral:ncRNA from 1 species